rnacentral:tRNA from 3 species
UGGGGUAUCGCCAAGCGGUAAGGCACCGGUUUUUGAUACCGGCAUUCCCCUGGUUCGAAUCCAGGUACCCCAGCCA